GCGACCAUCACCUGACGGAGGAGGAGCGGAAGCACUUCUGCCAGGAGAUCCUCAGCUUUGCCAGUCAGCAGGAGGACAAGGCAGGUCACAAGGUGGUACUGCCCAUGCACUCGUUUGCACGGCUAAAGGAUCUCCAUUUUGACCCUCCCAAUGCUGUGGUCCACGCGGGUGGCGUCCUCACUGUGGAGAUAACGGUUUGCAGCCAGAUGCCUGUCCCUGUCCAUGUGGACCAGAUUGCUGUGAACGUCCACUUCAGCAUUGAAAAAAACAACUACCGGAAGAC
rnacentral:lncRNA from 1 species